AGUCGAACGGCAGCAUAGGAGCUUGCUCCUGAUGGCGAGCGGCGAACGGGUGAGUAAUAUAUCGGAACGUGCCCUAGAGUGGGGGAUAACUAGUCGAAAGACUAGCUAAUACCGCAUACGAUCUACGGAUGAAAGUGGGGGAUCGCAAGACCUCAUGCUCAUGGAGUGGCCGAUAUCUGAUUAGCUAGUUGGUGAGGUAAAGGCUCACCAAGGCGACGAUCAGUAGCUGGUCUGAGAGGACGACCAGCCACACUGGAACUGAGACACGGUCCAGACUCCUACGGGAGGCAGCAGUGGGGAAUUUUGGACAAUGGGGGCAACCCUGAUCCAGCAAUGCCGCGUGAGUGAAGAAGGCCUUCGGGUUGUAAAGCUCUUUUGUCAGGGAAGAAACGGUGGUCUCUAAUAUAGGCUGCUAAUGACGGUACCUGAAGAAUAAGCACCGGCUAACUACGUGCCAGCAGCCGCGGUAAUACGUAGGGUGCAAGCGUUAAUCGGAAUUACUGGGCGUAAAGCGUGCGCAGGCGGUUAUAUAAGUCAGAUGUGAAAUCCCCGGGCUCAACCUGGGAACUGCAUUUGAGACUGUAUGGCUAGAGUGUGUCAGAGGGGGGUAGAAUUCCACGUGUAGCAGUGAAAUGCGUAGAUAUGUGGAGGAAUACCGAUGGCGAAGGCAGCCCCCUGGGAUAACACUGACGCUCAUGCACGAAAGCGUGGGGAGCAAACAGGAUUAGAUACCCUGGUAGUCCACGCCCUAAACGAUGUCUACUAGUUGUCGGGUCUUAAUUGACUUGGUAACGCAGCUAACGCGUGAAGUAGACCGCCUGGGGA
rnacentral:rRNA from 1 species